UACACGAUCAGCUGUCUGGCAAACUCCACAUUUAAGAGUUUUCUGGCCACGCUUGUGUAAAACAAACCAGAGGUGUAACACUUGAGGGGCCAGUUUAAACCACACCAAACAAACAGGUGUGAAAGCAUCUUGCAUGGCGUUGGCGUUGGCUGCAUUCCUCUCUCGCUGCUGUAGCAGUUAUUUCAGCGAUUGCGACACUCGCUGUCUUGAAGCCGCCUGUAUUUGGAACAGCUUCGGUUUGCUCUCGCACAAAGACUGUCUAAGAGGAUGAGUUUGAGGGUGUUAAAGUGAAGGACGCUCUGUGUGUGUGAGUCGCUGCAGCAGUGGAGAAACUUAAAGCUCCAAUUUAUCUUUUGGCCCAAACAAAAAAACUAACUAGCUCUGCUAAAACAUGCAAAAAAAUACUAUAAAGUUCUGUUAGUCUCAUCCACAAAUGUCUUUUUUUUCAUAUCAAUCGGUCAUUUUGUUUGCUUUUUCUCCACUGCCUCUGUUGGAGGCCACGCUUGAUGAAACUUUAAUGAAAGCAAGAAGCUUUCAGUACAUCCCCCAAAAAAAUCGUGUUUGUAUUUUCAGCAAGAAAAACCAAAAAGCUUUUCCAGUUCAACUGUUUUUCUCAUCAAACAUUUACUGUUAAAGUGGAACAAUGUAGAAGAAAAAGCCAUCAAACUGCACCACAGAGAGAGUGAACACGAUGCACUCUGGUUUAUAUCGGGUGUAGGUGUAUGUGAGAGAUGGGGGGUGGAGUACGCGUGUUACUUAGACUAAUUGAUCUCAGUUUGCUUCUUGUGUUUUGUGUCUGUGCUGCUGGGCGUGAGAUUUAUUAUUGUUAUUUGUGUCUACACACACACACACACACACACACACGUGGAUGUGGGUGUAUGUUUGUUUCGGAGUACAUCCAGUUGACGGAUGCAGCUGGUGCAUAAAAUCUAAUCCAGAUAUAAAGGGGAGAAUAAAAACCUGACUGGCACAGAAAGAGAGAGCGAGAGCGUGUUUGACAAUCAGUGCCACGGCUCAUUAAGGCCCAUAAUACAUAAUUAGUGUGUUUGGAUAUACAGAUGUAUAGCUGAUUGGAAUGCGGCACACGUCGGCCAUUUCCCUGUGUUUUGCUGCCUGCGUCAUUUAGACAGCCAUUCUCUGCAUCAAGCUAACACUGCUUUCCAUUAUUUCUAUGGCAAAAACAACUUCUUUUAAACAACAACAAGAGGCAGUCUCAGAAACCUCAGAGACAGCAGAGUUCCUCCUCUUCAGCUCUUUGAGACCGCUUCUGAGUCAAACCACAUGGACUUUCAGGUUUAAUCAAGUGGCAGACUCUAGGACUUAAAAAUGAACCAGGGAACCAGUUUAGCUGAAAAAUUCAAAAAAUCAGAUCUCUUAAAAAACUGCAGCUUUGACAGGGGUCACUAGAGACUGGCUCCAAAAGCGAGUCAGUCCCCGCACACUCCUGACUUCAUAACAUUAAAAACAUGGACAUAGCUACCGUGAUGUCACUAACAGGUUUCUAAGGUGCUAUUUUGAUGAGCAGUGGGUGUGGCCAGAAGGGGGCGGGCGUGAAACAGCGAGCUCACUAUUAAAAGGCUUGUGGUUGACAAGUUGUUAGCUGCUGAGCACGUUUUAUGAUAAUCUUCCAAUUUGAAACACAGCAUGGACAUUACUCAGUAUGACCCGACAUGACUGACUGAGCCCAUAAACUCAUCAGGUCGAGACAGGAAGCGGUUUUCUCACUGACGUCCACAGGACUGGGAGUCUUUUUGCAAACACAGCUAUCGCCACCUGGUGGCCUUCAGAUGCUACAUCCACAUUUUAUACCAUCGAUGAUCACAAAGCACAUUUACAGCCUGGUAUAAAGUAACUUUUUAAAAAAUCUUUUUAUCUUUACUAAACCUCUCCAGGUGUUUUAUUGUGCCAAACACGUCUGUUUUUCCAAGAGGAGCACUAUAGACUAGGCUCUAUGGAUUUAUAACAACUUUAUCACUCAACAGAGCUUUUUUUAAAAACCUCAUCCACCUUCAUAUUGGACUCAAGGACAUGGUCACUUUGACUGACAGAGGUCGAUCAAGUUACUUAGCACUUAGCGUGUGCGUGUGUGUGUGUGUGUGUGUUUGUGUGUGUGUACCUAUGUGGUAGCUUUUAAACCAGCUUGCUUGCAUUUCUCUCUCGUUUCUCCCUAUGCUCACAUAUUAGCUUUUUCCACCUAUCCUGAAAAAGUCCCACAGCCUAGCAAAGUAAAAACAGCUUUGGUUUCUAUUCCAAUUAAUAACAGAUGUACUGAUAACUGGAAACAAGCAGGGAUUUUCCUUACCAAAACAAGAUGCAGAUUUUGAAAGUGCUGUUAAUAACUAAUUAACUAAUUAUCUGUAAGUUUGAGGGCUGUUUGGCGCAUAAGAACUUGUAUUCCAGCAUGAAAUUAGUCUGAUAGCUGACAGCUAAUCUAACAUCACAGCUUCACUCCGAGCUCCUCAGUCUCUGUGUAAUUCUAGAACAAAUAUUCACAACAAACAGUACAAGCUUCUGAGUUUUGCCUUCAUUUCUUUCUCUCAGCAGAGUAAGGUUAGAAGUAAGGUCAUCCUCACUGUCCAGGUAAAUCACAUCAACCUCCACGGACCGCAGCCCCUCAGGACACACACACGCACACAGUCGCUCACACAUGUAGUCCCAGCCUCACAAGCACAUCCUUCACUCACACACAUGCUUGUCUUCAGCCUCUCUGAAUGGUUGACAUUCACAUCAGUGGGGGAGCGUUUUACACAUGUGAUCACACAUUUGCAUGGUUUUCACACGACGUGAAAAAACACGAAACAAGAAAAGUGAUGUUCCCGAAUACACACAUCUGAUCUGCCAAAUCCUCACUUUUCUGGCAGAUUAUUUAACUCCAGCUGAGCUUCACAGUGCCUGAAUCAGCAGGCUGCUCACAACUGGCCAGCAGUAAGCAGUUGUGCCAGCACAUACAUGCACAUAGAGAGUGCCGUGAACUCCAGGAAGACCUCAUAAAUGAACGUGAUGUGGUGGAAGACUGAAACACUUUGGGUUUCUUCUUUAGGGAAUACCAAUUUUUUAAAAAUAAAGCCAUGCAGUGAAAACUCUGUGCACAUCUAAAACCUGGGCUCUGUGAUAAAUUUGAUGUUUUUGUACAUAAAUACAACUAAUAAAGGUUUUUGCUCAUUUUGAAUCAAUAUUGCCAAAAAACGGCUCAUGUCUUUCUUCUUGUUAAGGAUUCACAUGUCUGGAUUUGAAUGCUAGUUUAAUGUAGUUUUUUUGUAAAGUCUUUAGCAUUUUACCCAGUCUGAUGUCGUGAAAGCAAGCACCAGUUUUUUCAGGCUUCUAGUAGAGCAAGCAGAAAUCUUUGCAUCUGUCAUUGUUUAUUCAUGCAAAUUAUUUUAAAAGCUAACAAAAAGCGAAAUGUUUGUCAGAGAUGCUCACAUCCCGUUUCCCUUUAGCUCUAAAGACACUUUACCUGCAUGCAUCCAAAGCCUGUUCAAAGGUGACCACACACAAACUGACCACAAAAAACUGAAAACUUUCGUACAUAUUUCAGGAUGUCAGCGGGGCAGCUUGAGUUCUUGCUGGCAGAGCUGGGACCACAUCUGCAGGGGCAGAGGAAUCAUUUCAGAGAUCUGAUUGACCAGGAGCGGCGUCUAGCUGUACGCCUGAGGUAAAAUAGUAUUAUUUUACUAUUUCCACAUCAUUAGAUAUUCAGUACUGAUCUGUGUUUUGAGCCACAGCAAACUUAUUGCCAAAUGCAGCAUCUGACUGGUUGGAUGUUCGGAUCCAAAAAGUCAGAAAAAAUAAAUAAAUCUGUCCAGCAAAAUUAUGUGUGAACAGCUGCAUUAAAAAGAGGUAAGCCUGUGCGCCAGCUUAGCUCAAUGCGUCGAGCAGGCGAUCACAUGCCAAAGGGCUGAGAGCGGCCGGCCCGGGUUCGAGUCCGACCUGCGUCCUUUGCAGCAUGUCUUCUGUCUCUGCCCCUGCUUUCCUGUCCUCUCUUCAUUGUGUCUAUUGAAAAAGGCCAAUAAAAAGAAUAGGCGAGUCUAAAAAAAGCUUUUAACAUACAGAUCAUUCGUGCAGAUUUUACAGGUCUACUGUGUCGAGGCCUUAAGGCUGUCCUUGCUGCCCUCGAGGCGAAACUGUGGUACAUUUUUAUAUUUUAUGGCUACAUUUUCACUCAUAUUUUUCUAUUUUUUUAAUCCACUUUUAUGCUCAACAAAAGUGUUUACACAAAAGAUUCUCAGCAGUCCUUUCAGGCUACGAUCCUACAUACAGAGAUGAAUUCUUCAUGGAGGACCCCCCACUCGAAGCUAGUGCGACACGACCCAGAGCUUCUUGCUAUUGUGCUCGCUGCUGGUAUUAUCAUUGACUUCAUUGCAGCAGCCGUGCUAAAGACAUAACCUCAUCUCUUCCACCCACUCCUGAGCCAAUCUGCAGCACAAUCUCCAUUGUUUCAUCACGUUGACAUGACAAUAUCAGUCCCUCGCUGCCGAAACACAAUCUCGCAGUUAACUGGGGAUGAAAUGAAGCAAACGAGGGGAAAACAAUCUCCCCAAAGCCUCUUUGAGGGGAAAAUAUAAACUCUGGUUUUAGUAGUGUUUUUUUUAAGUGAAGCUACCAGGACAGUGUUUAAAGGCUGCACAUUUCAGCUCCUAGUGGGGAUCAUUUGGCGAGCAGAGACUUGAAAGACUGCCAGAAACCUUAACAAAGUGUAAGAGCAAGCUCGAGUGGGAUGUCUGUGCUGAAAACGACGUCCUAAGGCGGUCAGUGAAAAUCCAUAUGGACAUUCCUCGGCAAUUUUUUUUUUUUCCGAGAGCCUUUGAUCCUGCAGCGUCCGUCAAAGAGCUUCAGCAUGCGCCUCAGUUUUAGUCCGCCCCGUCUCACCCCACAGGAUAUUACGAACCCAAAGAGGGAUGUGAGUGUGUGCUGUGAAAAUGGAAUCACAGGCAAAUUAAUUCGAAAACAAGUUUGAGAUCUGUUUGGGUCAGGACUGGGACACAAACACGUCCUGUCUGCUGUUUUAUGUAGGCUGACAAACUGCCGAAGCACGCUACGAGAACAUGACAGGAAUGACAACAGCAACGGUCGUUACUCGCUAAAGAUUCUCCACAGCUGGCAGACUAACAAAGAAACAUUCGUUUAAUUGGGGGCUGAAUCCACCGGGGACACCAGGAGAAUGUAAUUAAGCGCUGGAAGGUCAGAAAAGUCGACAGAUCUGUGGCGCUCCAGAGAGCCGAGUCUUAGGAGGCACUCAGAAGAGGAAACUGUCGCCCAGUUCAGAGAAGAAACAUAGUGCCGGGAGCUUCAGAAGACACAUCCUUCGCUCUGCUUUUUUCUUGAUUUACAGCCACUCUGAAUAUGAAGCUAGCGGGCGCCCAGGGGAAACUGGCUGCACAGUGGGGAGAAAGUGGAUUGAAGAGAGCGAAAUAAACAUGCAGAAUCUAAACAUUCUCGGUGAAUUGCUGCUCAUCUGGAAGAGAACACUGACCACAGGCAACUCACGUUCUGAAUAAAUUCACCUCCAACGCUCAUCUGUAAGCAGGAUCGCCAUUUUUUUUAAAGCUCGACUCUGACGUCUGAACAGCACAGUGGAGUUUGGAUGUUUCGUCUAUGAAUGGUAUGUGUAAAUAAGACUAGUAUGGAAAAAUCUGAUUUUAUUGUGUCAGAAAACUUGAAAAAAAAGUGGAGUUUCGUGUCAAGUAACACAUGAAACUCACAGUAUAGCACCAGGUCAGUUAAACUGCGAGGAUAUCUACCCAGUCAGGAACUAUAAGCCUUUGUGAAUCAAUUUCAGCUCCUUUGAUGCACAUUUAACUGACAACAGGUGCACCGGAGAGGCAAAAACAAGACAAGCUCCAAAAAGGGAACAGAUUUGCAUAUGGUGGCCACAGACUACUGCUCUCUCUUUCUCCCUCCUGACUGAUACCUCCUAGUACUUUUUUGUAUUGUUACUAAUGUCCUUGAUACUGCUGAUAGCUUUAGAUGACACCUGCAGGCCAUUCAUGUGGCACAGACAGUCCACCUUCACAUACGUGGAGAUACCCAGAUACCCACUACAUGAGGAGAGCUGGACAGAAGCGUUAACCUAGCAGUGAGACUGGUAUAUCUGGUAUUUGGAAUGGGAGAAGGCCGCCAGGAAACCUACAAAAUUACCUUCAGGGCCACUCAUAUGCUUGUUCUCACCAAACUGUAAGAACUGGACUACAAGAGGGUGAAACGAGAUCCUGAGAUCCUUUAGUGCGAUCGGUGCUUACAGUCCAGCAUUGCAUGGCUCAACUGGCAUUUUUCGGGGAACACCAGAACUGGGAGAUCCAUCACUGGCACCUUGUUGCUUUCACUGAUGGCAGCAAAUUCACACUGAGGAAAUGUGACAGGCGUGAAAGAGUCUGGAGACGUCUGCCUGAAGCAUCAUUCACGAUGACUGGUUUGGCAGUGGGUCGGUCUUGGAGGGUCUCACGGACCUCAGUGUGGUGGCCGACAUCACCCUGACUGCUGAAUGAAAUCCUGAGACCCACUAUCAGACCCUACUGUACAGUACAGUAAGGUCUGAUAUGGUGGAUUGCUUUAAAUUUAUCAGUGCUCACUGCAGUUUGCACAAAUGUAACUGUAUCUAUGGAAAAAUCUGAGCAUCUUUGAUUAUAUGUAGCUUGCCAUCACCAGUGUGUGAAUGUGUGUGUGAAUGGGUGGAUGACUAGAUGUGUAAAGCGCUUUGGGGUCCUUACCAUUUAUACACAAUUUGUAUGAACUUUUACGUAACAGAGAAAGAUCAAGUUUUUUGUUGCCUUAACAGCCGGAUGAAAAGACUCCUCAUUAUCCAGUUUGUACAUGCAACAAUCGUCCCACUGCAAAUUUUAAGAGCAGAUCUCCAUCUAUAAUUUCCAGGUCCCAACAGAUAUUCACGCAAAACAAGAGAUAUGCAUUUGAUUCUAAAUGCAAGUUGCUUGUAAGGAAAAGCCACUAAAAUAAUGUCAAAAACCGAAGCAACCCCCACCGAUGAAAUGUAGUCCAUCACUGCUCAAAAUAACAGUGAAACCAAACUUUUACUUUAUUGUCUAAAGAAUGGAAGAAAGAAAAUAACAAAAUGCCCUCAAAUGCAUCUGUACCAUUUAGCCACACUGCGAUGUAGGUCAGUAGUUCCAGGUAGCAAAACACUCCAUAUUGAAGCAGGAGUAAAAAGAAAAUCUGUCAGAAUGUAGGGCAGAGAGGGGAGGAGGGGAGGUUUUCAGUCCUUCGCUUCAGUCUCUGUCGUCUUUCCUGACCGCGGUGGCUUAGCUUCACAUGCUCUCUGGCUGGCCCGGUGUCGGCAGUGGCCUAUAAAUACCUGCCAUGUUUAAACACCCAGGUAACCUCAAUACCGAACAGCAGCCUAACACACAAAGCCUUUACCAUAACACCGCUGCAAGCACAACCGCUGUU